GUCAUAAAUAAGAGGUAAGAAUAUGAAUGUCAUUGUGUGUGUUAAUAUAUGUGUGUCAAUGCAAAUCUGUGAAUGAGUGUCAGUGGGAAUCUGUAUAGCUGCCAGUGUGUUAAUGUGUCUUGAUGUGUGUUAAUGUGUCUUGGUGUGUGUAUCUAUGUAUGUUUGCUCGUGUAUAUGUGUGUGUAUGAGCCUGUUGCUAACUAGGUUGAGGUACAUGGCAAGUUCUGU